GGCGAAGGAUGCAAGCGUUAUCCGGAUUCAUUGGGUUUAAAGGGAGCGUAGGCGGCCUUAUAAGUCAGUGGUGAAAUCUCCGAGCUUAACUCGGAAAUUGCCAUUGAUACUGUAGGGCUUGAGUACAGUUGCUGUGGGCGGAAUAUGACAUGUAGUGGUGAAAUACAUAGAGAUGUCAUAGAACACCGAUUGCGAAGGCAGCUCACAAAACUGUAACUGACGCUGAGGCUCGAAAGUGCGGGGAUCAAACAGG
rnacentral:rRNA from 1 species